CCUACGGGGGGCAGCAGUGGGGAAUAUUGGACAAUGGGCGAAAGCCUGAUCCAGCCAUGCCGCGUGUGUGAAGAAGGCCUUCGGGUUGUAAAGCACUUUCAGUGGGGAAGAAAGCCUUGGGGCUAAUACCCUCGAGGAAGGACAUCACCCACAGAAGAAGCACCGGCUAACUCCGUGCCAGCAGCCGCGGUAAUACGGAGGGUGCGAGCGUUAAUCGGAAUUACUGGGCGUAAAGCGCGCGUAGGCGGUCUGAUAAGCCGGUUGUGAAAGCCCCGGGCACAACCUGGGAACGGCAUCCGGAACUGUCAGGCUAGAGUGCAGGAGAGGAAGGUAGAAUUCCCGGUGUAGCGGUGAAAUGCGUAGAGAUCGGGAGGAAUACCAGUGGCGAAGGCGGCCUUCUGGACUGACACUGACGCUGAGGUGCGAAAGCGUGGGUAGCAAACAGGAUUAGAUACCCUAGUAGUC
rnacentral:rRNA from 1 species